UGUGUCUGUUGCAGCUCUCAUAAUCAUCACUGUGGCUGUCCUCAGAUGGAGGAGAGCUAAAGGGAACAAAACACAGACGGAGGUUGAAAACAUGGCUGAUCCUGAAGAUGGUGUUUCCUACGCCUCCAUCAGCUACACCAAGAAGACCAACAGGAGAGCCCAGGCUCGGGGUGGAGAUGAUGAUGAAGAUGAUGCAGUGACCUACAGCACCGUGAAAGCUCCCUCUUCCUCUGCUGCUGCUGCAGCCUCUGCUGAUCUCAGCAACCUCUACGCCACCAUCAACAAACCCAACAAAUAAGACAGCACAGUAUAGUUACAGCUCGUAUCAUUACAGAUAUUUUUGGUUACUUGAUAUGGAAGAAAAAUAUGAUAAACAAAUGAUUAGUGGUCAAGAGAUGUGUGCACAUUUCGCUAUAACUAUGACCGAGGCAUUUCUCAAUAAGAGCAAUGGGGCCGAUGAUGUAUUGAUUCUUCUUUUGUUCUCUUUUGAUUUUGUAAAUAUAUUUGAUGCACAAAUAUUGAGCUGGCUAUUUGCAUAUGAAGAUUUUAGCUUAAGUAUACUUGGAGAUAGCCUGGGAAAUUAGAUAAAAGUUGUUGUUUUUAAUCAUGUAGGGGUUUUUGUCAGUGUACAGUUCAUAUGAAAUGUGUUGUCUCAAAUAUUAAUGUCAUAAUUUUUGCUUGUUUUUUGCCCUUUUUUGUACAAGGAUGAAGAUGUAGGCUUUGUUGUAAAAUAGCUGUGUCUUGUGAUUCCCAUGUGGCAUGGACCAGAUCUUUGCCAUCACAUAGAAAUGAAAAAUAAACUCCAUCUAUAACUGAUACUGAUACAUGUUCAUUAGAAUUCUUUUUAUGAUCAUUUGCUGUAUUUUUUUGCCUGUGCAAUAG